UUGAAACAUUGUAAAGGGAAGUUGAGCUGGCUCUUCUAGAGCAAGUGCUCGCUUUCCUUUCAAUCUUCAUCCACCUGUGCACUUUUUGUAGAGAGUCUGAGAAAUGGGCCUUGUAAAAGAGGCCUUAAGUAUUGGGCUUUCUAUGUUUUUACACACUCUAAAUGUAUGUCUUUGAAUGUCUUUUAUUAAGGGACUUGAUUGACCCUUUUAAAAACAAUA
rnacentral:misc_RNA from 1 species